AACGAACGCUGGCGGCAUGCCUAACACAUGCAAGUCGAACGAGACCUUCGGGUCUAGUGGCGCACGGGUGCGUAACGCGUGGGAACCUGCCCUUAUGUUCGGAAUAACUCCCCGAAAGGGGUGCUAAUACCGGAUAAUGUCUUCGGACCAAAGAUUUAUCGCCUUUGGAUGGGCCCGCGUUGGAUUAGCUAGUUGGUAGGGUAAAAGCCUACCAAGGCGACGAUCCAUAGCUGGUCUGAGAGGAUGAUCAGCCACACUGGGACUGAGACACGGCCCAGACUCCUACGGGAGGCAGCAGUGGGGAAUAUUGGACAAUGGGCGAAAGCCUGAUCCAGCAAUGCCGCGUGAGUGAUGAAGGCCUUAGGGUUGUAAAGCUCUUUUACCCGGGAUGAUAAUGACAGUACCGGGAGAAUAAGCCCCGGCUAACUCCGUG
rnacentral:rRNA from 1 species